UGUCUUCAGUCUAGACUUCAUCCUCCAAG
rnacentral:piRNA from 1 species